UGCUGAAGACUCCGGGGCUUUUUGGAAAAAGCACAGCACAGUGCAGCUCAUCAGCUGGAGUUCCCCUGACACUCAAAUGUGGACUGCUGUUGAGAGAUGCUGACAGUGUUAUGGACAGGCAAGAUCUUAGUCUACCACUGUGCCCUGUCCCCAGAAAGGGAAUAUUCUGCCACCCACCUCUUGACCUCCUGCAGCUCUAACUUGCAAGUGAUGGCUGUCAAACCAGGGACUUGACUCCCAAACCAGGGACUUCUGAGGAGCUACUUCGGGCCUGUUCAGCUCCAGCUUUGCCUCCAAACAGUUGCUCAAUAUGAAGCAACACCUUUCUUCAGGCCAGCUUCACGAUGAGAGUCUGCACUGAUUUUGCUGAGCAGCCCACUGAUCCCUUCCUCAUUAGUGAAAUCCUGCCCAAACCACCAAGUGUUCUCAGGAUUUCUCACAUAUUUUGUUCAGAGGAUGUGAUUCCUGCUGUUCCAGAAGCACUUUACCUGUCAAGUCACAGGCAGCUGCUUAUCCUCACAGAUCUUCAGGAUGGCCAGCAGCUAUUUCUGCAAACUGGUGUAUCCUUGACUUAAAAGGCAAAUAUCAUCUC